rnacentral:tRNA from 1 species
GCCUGCUUAGCAUAGUGGCUAAUGCGUUGCACUUGUAUCCAUUCGACGACAUGCAAAGAUCACAGGUUCGAUUCCUGUAGUAGGCA